rnacentral:piRNA from 1 species
UGAAGAAGAGUUUCUUUGUGCCAUU